rnacentral:rRNA from 1 species
AUGUCGAAGAAGUUUGAGAUGUCUAUGAUGUGUGAACUCAAGUUCUUUCUUGGUUUGCAAAUCAAGCAAACUAAGGAGGGCACCUUUGUUUCUCAAACAAAGUAUACCAAGGACUUAUUCAAGAAGUUCAACAUGCAAGAAAGCAAAGGUAUGAAAACACCCAUGCCUACUAGUGGACAUCUUGACUUGACUAAGGAUGGCAAAUCGGUUGAACAAAAGGUUUACCGCUCUAUGAUUGGUUCAUUGUUAUAUCUAUGUGCCUCCUCUCCUGAUAUGCUAAGUGUGUGCAUGUGUGCACGAUAUCAAGCGGCCCCGAAAGAAUGUCAUCUUAAGGCUGUGAAAAGGAUAGUGAGAUACUUAAUUCAUACACCAAAUUUUGGCAUUUGGUAUCCUAAGAGGUCUUCCUUUGAUCUUGUUGGCUACUCCGAUUCGGACUAUGCCGGAGACAAGGUAGAGAGAAAGUCCACUUCGGGUACUUGUCAAUUUCUUGGUAGAUCUCUUCUGUCUUGGUCCUCCAAGAAACAAAACUCAGUAUCCUUAUCCACCGCCGAAGCGGAAUACAUUGCCGCCGGUUCAUGUUGUGCUCAAUUACUUUGGAUGACCCAAACUCUUAAAGAUUAUGGGAUCUAUGUGAAACAUGUUCCAUUGCUAUGUGACAGUGAAAGUGCUAUUAAGAUUGCUCAUAAUCCCAUGCAACAUUCUCGAACUAAGCCUAUUGAAGUUCGUCAUCAUUUCAUUCGAGAUCAUGUUGCUAAAGGAGACAUUGAUCUUAAGCAUGUUCGUACCGAUAAGCAAUUGGCAGAUAUAUUCACCAAACCGCUUGAUGAGAAAGUAUUUUUCCGUUUGAGAAGUGAAUUGAACAUCAUUGAUGCUUCAAACUUGGAGUAG